UCCUACGGGACGCAGCAGUGAGGAAUAUUGGUCAAUGGCCGGAAGGCUGAACCAGCCAAGCCGCGUGAAGGACGAAGGUGCCAAGCAUUGUAAACUUCUUUUGUCAAGGGACAAAAUCAGGCUCGAGAGCCUGACCGAGGGUACUUGAAGAAAAAGCAUCGGCUAACUCCGUGCCAGCAGCCGCGGUAAUACGGAGGAUGCGAGCGUUAUCCGGAUUUAUUGGGUUUAAAGGGUGCGUAGGCGGUUUGAUAAGUUAGAGGUGAAAUGUCGGGGCUCAACCCCGAAACUGCCUCUAAUACUGUUGG
rnacentral:rRNA from 1 species